AUUGAACGCUGGCGGCAGGCCUAACACAUGCAAGUCGAGCGAGCGGCGGACGGGUGAGUAAUGUAUGGGGACUGCCCGAUAGAGGGGGAUAACGACUGGAAACGGUGGCUAAUACCGCAUACUAUCGGAUAACCCAUAUGGGAUUAGCUAGUAGGUGGGGUAAAGGCUCACCUCGGCGACGAUCUCUAGCUGGUCUGAGAGGAUGAUCAGCCACACUCGGAUGGAGACAGCGCCCAGACUUGUACGGAGGCAGCAUUGGGAAAUAUUGCACAAUGGUCGCAAGCCUGAUGCAGCCAUGCCGCGUGUAUGAAGAAGGCCUUAGGGUUGUAAAGUACUUUCAGCGGGGAGGCGUUACCCGCAGAAGAAGCACCGGCUAACUCCGUGCCAGCAGCGCGGUAAUUC
rnacentral:rRNA from 1 species